rnacentral:lncRNA from 1 species
GAGCAGAGGUGGCUGAGUGGGUUAAAGCCUCUGCCUUCGGCUCAGGUCAUGAUUCCAGGGUCCUGGGAUGGAGCCCCAAAUUGGGCUCUCU